rnacentral:lncRNA from 1 species
CUUUCUUGAAGGCUUGUUUCACCAAAGUUUUGUUGCUGCUCCUCAUAAGCAUUGUUGUUGUAGUGGUUAUUGGUGGUGGUGGUGGUGGUGGAGUCAGUUGGAUAAUUGGUGUAGGUUUCUUGGGUUUGGGUCUGGGUUUUGUAUGGCUGGUAAGUGGUUGUGGUGUAGGGUGCAUUUGUUAGUUUAGUAGUGGUGGGGAACUGGGAGGAUUCUUGACCAUAUAGACCAUAGCCAUUUUGGGUGUCUGGGAUAAAGGCUGGAUCUAGUUCUUGCUUGUUAAAG